rnacentral:lncRNA from 1 species
CAUUCUCAUCAGGUGACUGGGCAUUGAGUUGAGCUAACAUCCUGACAGCAAAUUGGUCAGUCUAUCAACCCAUUCAACUGGUACCCAAACAGGGACUUUUAUGCAUUUAUGGCCAGAUUGAAGAAGGUGACCUAGAAGGGAAUCCAUAGGAGAGGAGAGACAGCAGUGGACUUCGAGGAACUACAGGGAUGCCCAAAUGAGGGAGCCAGCAUGACAUAGAGGAACCAAGACGGACCACCAUCUAGAUGCAAUGCAGCCUCUACUUGCCCUGAUUCAGCUUCUGCAACUUCAAAAACAGAAAGGAGGAACUGCAGGAGACCAGCUUGAAAUGGCAAAGGACCAUGUCACUGGAUAACCUGGUGCCUCCGGUUGAUGAAGAUUGUCCCCAACAGCAUAUGUGAAAGACAGAGGCCUGACCACAAAGGCACUGUCACGCUUGCAAGACAAACAUGUGACCAGCUCCUGAUCCCUGUUGGUGAGAUGGACUCCCCCAGCUCUGCCCUUCUCUGUGACUAUCAAGACCUCUUAUGUGAGCUGUGGAGUGGCAGAACCCAAGUUAUAUCUGGAAUUCUUCCUUUAAGGGAGCGUGGGAAACCCAACUGUUUUACAGAACAAGAAGGCACUGUGAGGUAGAUUUUAAAUGGACCAAUCCAGAGAAUCUCGGUGUUUUUUGUUUUCUAUUUGGUUUAGUUUUCUAUAAUUAUUAAAGCUUCUGUAUACAUUAUUACUCAAAAGUCAAUGUUAUUUCUAACAAUACUGGUGAGGAGGUUGGAAUAUGCAGAGAUUCAAUAAUAUGUCGCCAUGUUUAGGGUCUGUUUGAAAUUAUGUAUCUUGAACAUUUUUGAAACUAUACUUGUUUUCAAACUAUUUAAUUGCCUAUUUUGAAACUACACACCCUGAAUAUUUUGGCAAAUAAUCAAAUUUAGUGAUAUCUUGUUGAGUAUUUCUUUACACAGGAGUCAAAUUGUACCUUAAAUAGAUUAAAUGCAGAAUUUGAAACACUGAGGAAGACAUUGGCUUCUUGGGUUAUUGCUUUCAAUUUUCCUUUUUCCCAGGAGUAUUUGACCCCUCACAAAAAGCUGGAAAACUGUGUCCUCUAGUACCUUGGACUCUAAAAUUCAACUGGAACUUCUCUUAUCCUAGAAUAAUUCAAAAUAUAACAGAAGCAGGAACAUCAAAUGGAUGAUUACUGUUGAACCCAGUGAGAGAGAACCAACCAGAGACCGAUAUUAAAUCCACACAGGAGUUUAUUACUGGCCAGGACCAGAGCUGAGCAUCAGACUCCAGCCUCAACUGGGGGUUGACAAACAUGUUUUAUACACCUUUGAGGCCAACAGUUUCUAGGCCCCCCUAUGGGAUAGAACUAGUAAAGCAAGCAAAAGGUACAGAAGCAGAACGUCCUGCUGUUAGAACAUUUGUGAAACAAUAGUUGAUUAAUUGUCAUUUCUAAAGAGACUUUCUAAGGGGAGGAGGUUUUUAAGCUUCCUCCUUCUGAGUUCAUCUAGAGGGCAGGCAGGUGGGUCAAGCAGCAAUAUGGAGUCUGUCUUGAUAACUAGGGUCUUUCAGUUACCACCUUCUCACUGGGCCCAUUAUUUAACAGUUCCCCAGGUCCUACUUAACGUGGCCCAUUAUGUCAGCCUAUGACCUUUCACAAAGCUCAUGGAAGAUGCUCCAAAAUGAGAAAGAACUGUGGGUACAAGCAAGAGAGAAACUGGAGUAGACGUGGGUUUCUUUUAUAUGUUAAACAAUUUCCCAUAUCUUUGCUUUGCAGAUCUGACUGCUGCUCUAUAAUUUCCAUUAUAUCACAGAUUGGAGGUAAUAUUGGGUUUGCAGAACACAGUGAAGUUAAAAUUUAUUGUAAUAGCUCAAAUCUCUACUCCUGAAACCCGUUGCUAACCCAUCAUUCUUCCUUUGAAAACAAACAAAUGUUCUGGGGCCUUUAUGAUGCCUCUGACCUUUGUGCUAGGCUCUUCACAUACACUGUUUAUUUAGCUCUUACUUGAAAGGGGUAAGGAGUCUAAAUUAGUUAAGAAAAACAAACAAACAAAACAAAACAAAACAGACCCACCACCACCAGGCAUAGAAUUAUGAACCCAAUCUUUUCAAUCACUCAGGAUGUUCCACUGAGCAGAAAGAUUUGAUUUAAAAGCCAUUCUCACCCUUCUCCAGGUUUAGUGCAAUGAACAAUUCAUUUACCUCUGUCAGUCAGUUUCCUACCAAGGAGCACAGUAUGAAACAAAUGACUUGAGCACAGUGACUUCACAAUUUAGAAAGGUGGGGAUGGGUGUUAAGGAUCCAAUGCGGGGCAGAGCAUUGCUCAAAGGCCAGUAGCUGUGGGUGGGAGAGGGGAGCUGCCGCCCACUGGAAGCGGCAGAUGGGAAGAUGCACUUAGCAGAGCCUGGAUCUGGCAGCUACAGAGAGAUGGGCAGUGCUGGGCACUAGGUCUUCCCUAGAAAGAGCAUGAAUUAGCAGUGGGCUGGUGAGGCACUGACUGGGGGAACACAUGCCCUAAUUUUACUUUCCUCUGUCCUUUGACAGCCUGUUGCUAUGUCUCACUGGCUGAAUUUAGAGACAGAAUCAAGAGAUAAAGAAAAUGUAUCACUCAGCCACAAGGAAGAUAACUAGGGUUAUCUUCAUUUGUAGGAAAAUCGAUGGAUCUUGAGACCACCAUUCUAAGUGAAAUAAAUCAGACACAGAGGGUUAAAUAUUGCAUAGUUUCUCUAAUAAGGGACAUCCAAAAUAUAAAUGACAUAAAGAGCAAAAUAAAAGAGAGGUGGUGGGAAACAGGAAGGUAGACUCUGUGGAGAUGGGAGGGGGACCCAGGAAAAAGGGAGAAGAGAAGACAGUGUGGGUCAAGAGGAGUAAAAAACGAUCAGGAUGUGACAUGUCUAUGUACCAAUUCCACAGGAUGAAUGUCAUUAUUUUGUACUGCAAAUGCAUAUGAAUAAGAAAAGAAUCAUCAAGGAAGUCUGCUGGGCACUGAGGCAGUCACAGGCCGCAGAGCCAGAGUAGAGAGCAUACCUGGAGAGGAGGAAGGGAGCUGACAGCCAUGGCUUCUAAUCUGUGAUUGCCUGGCAAUUCUUAGAUGCCCUCUACUUCAAUCCUCACAAAAUCUUACAAAGUAAAGAUUGUUUUCUGCAAUUUACAUCUGAGAAAACUGAUGGUCCAAUCUAUUAGAGAUAUACCAUGUUUGUUACCAUAUGUAAACAUAAUAAUACAUCACAGAAAAACAUCCAAAAACAUACCACUAAACAUGCACUAGAAAAAUUUAAUUUCCAAUGAUAAUAAAAUGUUUUAGCAAUCUUUCCAUACAAGAGAAC